UUUCCGGUUGAUCCUGCCAGACCUGACUGCUAUCGGAUUGAUACUAAGCCAUGCGAGUCAUUGUAGCAAUACAAGGCAUACGGCUCAGUAACGCGUAGUCAACCUAACCUAUGGACGGGAAUAACCUCGGGAAACUGAGAAUAAUGCCCGAUAGAACACUAUACCUGGAAUGGUUUGUGUUCCAAAUGAUUUAUCGCCAUAGGAUGGGACUGCGGCCUAUCAGUUUGUUGGUGAGGUAAUGGCCCACCAAGACUAUUACAGGUACGGGCUCUGAGAGGAGUAGCCCGGAGAUGGGUACUGAGACACGGACCCAGGCCCUAUGGGGCGCAGCAGGCGAGAAAACUUUGCAAUGUGCGAAAGCACGACAAGGUUAAUCCGAGUGAUUUGUGCUAAACGAAUCUUUUGUUAGUCCUAGAAACACUAACGAAUAAGGGGUGGGCAAGUUCUGGUGUCAGCCGCCGCGGUAAAACCAGCACCUCAAGUGGUCAGGAUGAUUAUUGGGCCUAAAGCAUCCGUAGCCGGCUCUGUAAGUUUUCGGUUAAAUCUGUGCGCUUAACGUACAGGCUGCCGGGAAUACUGCAAAGCUAGGGAGUGGGAGAGGUAGACGGUACUCGGUAGGAAGUGGUAAAAUGCUUUGAUCUAUCGAUGACCACCUGUGGCGAAGGCGGUCUACCAGAACACGUCCGACGGUGAGGGAUGAAAGCUGGGGGAGCAAACCGGAUUAGAUACCCGGGUAGUCCCAGCUGUAAACUAUGCAAACUCAGUGAUGCAUUGGCUUGUGGCCAAUGCAGUGCUGCAGGGAAGCCGUUAAGUUUGCCGCCUGGGAAGUACGUACGCAAGUAUGAAACUUAAAGGAAUUGGCGGGGGAGCACCACAAGGGGUGAAGCCUGCGGUUCAAUUGGAUUCAACGCCGGAA
rnacentral:rRNA from 1 species